AUUGUGAAUCGGCGACAACUUAAAUUGAAACAUGAGUACUAAAACAUUAGCGACGUUAAUCCGAAACGACGUAAAUCGGUACGACGUAAAUAGAGGACUUACUGUACAUGCAUUCUCUCGCAUGAAGAAAACAAGAAUGUGUUACAAAACAUUAUGCUACUGUGAGAAGAAUAAUAUUUACCUUGAAACUUUCUUCAGUGAAUCUCUUAGCAUAUUCAGGCCUUGCCAAGAGAGAUGAAGACCAUCUCUGUAAACAAAAUUUUACAUAUGACUUAGCUGCAUCAGACAGACAUAGCAAUAUCACAAAUCAAGCUGGUCAUGAAAAGUAUAGUUCACCUAUCACAUUGGGAAGAAAACCAAGUACCAUAAACUCCCGAUUCGGGUUAGUGCCAUGUAUUUGUCGUCAGUAGUAUUCUGAGCACAAGAGAAGUCUUUGUGAACGGUAUCACAGCGUAAUAGAACGUAAACAACUCUGCACUGCGUCUCGCCAUGCAGUCUUUCUCUGUCUGCUGAAGAGGCCGCAGUUACCCACUCCUCUCCCCACCAACCUUGAUAUUGCUGGUUUUUUUUUUUACCAGUCUGCGGAAAGUUAUUCUUUUCAGUUCCCUGUCCUUUCAUAACAUAACCACGCAGGAAAACUUUUGCCAGGAUUAAGGAAUAUAUAAAUAUCUAUUCAAUACACCUAUUCUCCAAGGCUUACUUUUCACGGACCUAAAACAGGAAAGUUUCCAUAAAUCAAAAAUGAAUGUGAUUCAUUCGCAAUUUGCUGCGCCGUGGCUGCAGUGUUUAUCAUGAAAUGUUACAUUCACAGCUAGGAACAAUAUUGCUGGCGGCAUGAAAACCCGUGAAUACUGCCUCCAUUUACGUUGUAGGUUCUCAGUCAUUUACAAGGCCGAAAAUAAAACGUUCAGUCAACAAUCCUCAAGAUAAAAGUGUGCUGGCCGUGCACACAAUUUCUGGCUGGUUUAUUUUUAUCUCCCUCCCAACCCCCUCCUCUUGGGCCAUCGUCCUGCCAAAUGCCAGCCUGCCACUUCACUCGCCAGGCGCCUGCCGGCAGCAGAGAAUAACAUCACGGCAGGCAGUGCGUGAAGUAAACAAGCUAAGAAGCAGCAGGGGUCAGGGCAUCCCAUUGGGUUUAAAGUGUGACAAAUGUGACAGGUGAGGGGGUGAGAGUUAAGAGGCUAUUUUACAUAGGUAAAUGGUGGUUUAAAAUACAGAAUGGCUUAAGCAUGAAAGUGUGUAGGAGCUAUGCCAUUAUUUUUUUACGGCUUGAGAAAAUAAUAAACUAAUAAUAAACCUAAAUUCAAGCACGGAUAAUCCGAAAACCGGAUAAUCUGGGCACGGAUAUUCGAGAGUUUACUGUAAUUGCAGUUGAGCCUAGUUUACUCCAUACUGUGCUAAAGCAGAGCUGCAAGAGAAAGCAGCCUUCUUUGUUUCCUCUUAAUAGCUAAUCAUACAUAUUUUGUCUGUGAGAUGAGUAAAUCAGUUUGUGCACCUAUUAACUUAGUCUUAAGUGACAAACAUGAUUUAAUUUUAUCAUACAUACAUAUGUGACCUACUAAAACUGCAACAUACAAAUAUAAGAUGAAUCAAGACACUUAAACAGUGCUGCCAACUAUUACGGAUUGUCCGUAGUUAUUACUGAUUUAGACGUCCAAUUACGGAAUUACGGAAGGCUAUUUCUUUAUUACGGACAAAGAUACAUUUAACGAAAAGUUAAAAAUAUCGGGUGUCUAGUUUUCCUUAGAUAUUUUCGGGACGGAGCGCUAUAUUUCGUACCAUAAAUAUCGGUCGUGUAUCCAAUUAGCAAUGUUUAGGGAAUGAGACUUUUGGUAUUCUAUAAUCUUACGGGCAUGAAAAUUCUGGUAAUUGUGGGUAGUUAAUGUUUUGGCAACAUUGAAAACAUAAAGGUUGGUAGCAGCCUACACAUGGAAGUUUUUCUAUUGUCUUUCGCGUUCCGCGUCGCAAUAGUUUUGUGUCUCGUGGCAAAAUGAAGCAUGUAGGCGUUCCUUCUACAUCUAGUGGCAAAAAAUUUGUUCAAAAAUACUGUGAAAGUUACACAAAAGAGUGGCCGUGUCUAAUUGCUUCAAAAGUUUCAGAUAAACAUGUAUUUUGUGAAGUCUGCAUCUGUGAUUUUGUUAUCGCACAUGGAGGACGUGAUGACUGCCGACGCCACAUUGAAUCUAAGAAGCAUCAAGAUUACGGUAAAGUGAGAUGUGUACACAAACCUAUUUCGUCUUUUUUUGUGAAAUCUAGUGAAAGUGAGAGUACGACCGCCGAACUGUUAUUUACGUCGUUCCUGGUGGAACAUAUUUUCUAUUGGCCGUUUCCGACCAUGCGAGUAAUUGGUUUCGGACUAUGUUUCCCAAUUCCAAAAUCGCCCAAAAAUAUGGAUGCGCACGGACAAAAAUUUCUGCGUUAGUGCAGUGCAUGGCAAACCAAACUAAGGAAGUAAUUGCUUCUGUUUUGCAAAUUUCAGCAUUUUCAUUAGCAACUGAUAGCAGUACAGACAAAAAUGCGGUUCAAUUGUAACCAAUUGUGGUUUCAUUUUACAGUGAAAAACUUAAUCAAGUCUGUACUCUACUGUUAUCUUUACUGGAAUCUUCGGACAACACAGGUGAAGGAAUUUUUACUGCCAUAGAUAGAGAACUGCGUUCAUUGGAAAUAUGUUGGGAUAACUGUAUUUCUUUCUCAUGUGAUAAUGCUAACACAAUGAUUGGUUCAAACAAAGGCGUGAUUUCAUUUGCAUGGGCUAAACACCCAUCCAUUUUUCUACAGUGCUGUUCAUGUCACCUUAUCCAUUUGGCUGCUCAGAAGGCUUCAAGUCAACUUUGUGUUAAUGUAGAACAGUUUUUGGUGCAGGUUUUUUACUUUUUAGAGAAGAGUUCCAAACGUCAGAAUACAUACCUUGAAACUACACCAAGCUGUCUGCGGAAGUAAACCUCACAAAAUUUUAAAGUGUGUCAGCACUAGUUGGCUUUCUCUUCUUGAAUCUGUUGAAAGAUUGUUAGAACAGUGUGAACCUUUGAAAUUGUUGUUUUGUGAACCAGACAGUAAUCUUGCUGCAAGCAGUUCUCAGUUUGAAUUCAUCAAGUAAUUGAUGCAAAAUCCUUCUACAAAACUCUACUGUCUGUCCCUUGAAAGUACACUUCCAUUCUUUAAUGCUGUGAAUAUUUUUUACAACAAGAAGUUCCUGUAAUUCACGUGUUAAAACGAAAAUUGCAAGGUCUUCUCAAUGAAUUGUUGGUUAGAUUUGUCAAGCCAUCUGCUUUGCAGAUAGGUUCCACAUCAAUUACUGAUGUUAACUUCAAAAAAAGGAAACACCAAAAAUAUGACACUGAUUUGGUUAUUGGUUCCAAGUGUAGAGCACAGUUGAAAGACUUAGCCAGCCAGGUUGAUGCUCAAAAAUUCUAUUUUUCUGUGCGUGAUUUCUAUGUUUCAGCAUGUAGUUACAUGGUAGAUAAAUUCCCACUGAAUGAACAUGCAACAUGCUGAAGUCUGUGAUAUUUCUUGCAAAGAAAAUGCCUCCUAUUCUUCAGUCCAGCAUUUCACUGAAAGAUUUCCAAAGCUUGCUGAUAGUACAGAUUUGGAUCUGUUGGAACAAGAAUUUGCAAUGUAUCAAUGUGAAACUUUUUCGGAUAACAUACUUAAUGCUGAAAAAAUGGAUGAUAGCUGGGGUAUUAUUUCUACUCAGAAAUUCAAGUGGUCAACUAAAAUUUAGAAUAUUGCCAAAAGUAAUGUUGGCGAUUUUGACAGUGCCUCACAGCAAUUCUUCAACAGAGAGAAUUUUCAGCAGUGUUCGUCGCAACCAAACAGAGUUUAGAUCAUCUUUGUCUACAGCAACUUUGGGUGAUCUAAUGGUGCAGAAAGUAAAAUGCAGUUCAUCUAAAGAAGUGUGCUAUAAAACACAUUUACUUCAAAGCAGAUUGAGGAAGCUAAGCUUGCAACAAUGCGGAUGUUAUCAGGCGAUAAUUAAAAGUUGCCGAGGAUUCAAGUUGUCUGCUAUUCCACCGGUAUCUUCAUCACCAGAGUCUUCAUCAGUCAGAACAGAUGGAUCCGGUGGUGCAAUAUAUACUGUUUCUGCAGUGCCAGCUUCAUUUUCAGCAUCAGCAAAAAUAAUGUCCAAAGCCUCCUGGACAGACACAUCUGGCUGCAGAAUGUUCUUCCAAUGUCUGCAAUAAAGAAUCAUUUCAAUCAUUGUAAUGCCAGAAUAUGACAGUUUGUGUCACGAACGAGUGAAUAUUUGUACAGUUAUUUUCAUGACAAAACAUUUAGUUUUGUAGCAGUGAACAGGUUGAUAUACAAUUACAUGCAUUUUUUAAGUCUCAGCUGAGAUGAAACUAGAGAAUGAUAUUGAAUGUUGUUUACAUGGAAAUAGCUGUAAACAGAAAUACAUUCGUAAUUGCUAAAAAAUAGUGAUUGCACUCAUUUAUAACUAAAAAAAAAAAAAAUCAUGUUUAGUGUCCGUAGUGUUCAUUGUAAAAUUUUUAAGCAUGGCUAGAAUAGUUUUUAACUUUUUGUAAUAAGAAUUCUCAAUUUUUAUUUACUUCUAUACUUAUAGUGAAAAGUGAUAUCAUGAAUGCCUAGCGUGUCCAAAUGGACACAUCAACAUUUCAUGCCAAAUAAAGAUAAGACUUUCCAAUAAACAGGAAUCUUAACCUCAACAUUCAAAAGAACAUGCCUUUAGGCUAUAUUUUCAAUACCAACAUAUAUAAUUAGUAUUAUUUUAGGGAAUGAUAUAGUACUUACUCUUUGUCAACGUCCAUGGUUUCUGAGUUAUAAAAAUAUUCACUAUUUGGCACUGUCACACAUCACCACAAAAAUAAUGAACCAAAGUAGUUUAUACCUGAAAAAAAACUAACAUGUCUGCUGUAUCACAUAGCAUAGGUACCAACAUUAAAAGUUUCACCAGUAAAAAUCUCUCGCUUUUUUUGUAGAGUACUAAAAGUGUGUCCAUAUGGACACGCUGGGAAUUAAAGGGUUAAUGUUAAUUAUGUAGCUAAUUGAAACUAACUUGUGCCCGAAAUAAGUACAAAAUUAAAAUUUAAUGUCAUAUCAUUCAUUGGUUUGGCAGGUUAUUUCCAAAAAACAUUGCUAAUUAUUUUUAAAGCUUCAACAUAGAAAAAAUGUCUUACUUAUGAAAUAACUUUGAAUGAUAUACUUAAAAUGACAUAAAUUAGUAUAAAAAAUGUUGCAUAUGUUUUAUAUUAUACUAAAAUUUCAGUGAAAGAAACAUGAACAUUUCAUUGAGAAUGUUAAGAAUAACUAACAAAAAGGUAUUUAUACAUGUCAUACAUUUCUUAAGUACAAGUUAAUACGAUAGAACUCUUAAAAGGUGACCAUUUGAAUCAAUUAUCCUCACACCACUUACUCCCAUCUAAUUGUUCCACCAUUGUCUACACAUAUAACUUUAGGCAUUGUUACAACCAAACUGUUAUUUGUAAAGCUACCUUGUCAUUAAAAAUUUACAUUUAGUUACCUGUAGCACUGUCUUUAAAAUACUCCACCUCUGCCCCUUCCUUCUGCAAUAGUCGGAGCAUGUUGGAUGCCCCAACAACCUGCAGGUUUUCCACCAUGCCCUGAAAUUACCAAAAAUAUUAUUAUCUCAUUUACUUAUGUGCCUUCUCUGAGGACCAUACAUUUUUAUGACAUUUAACUGCAAAGUAUCUGUUUUAUUAUGUUACAGCCUUUGUAUAAAAAAUUAUUCUUAUCAUUUCAAAUCAUUUCAGCCUUCACCUUACAUAGCCUGAGAUGCCACCACCUCUCAUACUCAUCCAAAUGUAAUUGCACUUUAAAGAAACUCUUCCAUAAAUAUUUAAUUUUUGAUGAAAAAUAUCUUGUGUAUUAAUUAAGUACUGGUACAUCUAUUAGUAUUUAUUAAUAAAAAUAUUAAAUUUCCUAGAAGAUAUAUUAUGUAUUGAGAUAAAUUUACUACAGACACAACACAAGAUCAGUUUAUUUUUCUUCGGCACAUUCCUUAAGGAAUGCUUACUGACUGAAAAAAAAGAGGCAUAACUUUUGUUAAAAGUGUAAUGUAUGUUACUAUAUUUUGAUGUAUUAACUAACAUUUACUUUAUUGACAUGACUAAUGUUGCAGAUUGUGAACAUAGGUUAUAAUAUCUUCAAUUCGUACUUACGUCACUAAUGUGUUAGUCCUUAAAUAAACAUUAACUUGCAUCAUAAACGAACAUAAUUUUGUUAAUUCUUUAAACUUCACAUGUCCCAUACUACAGUUUAUAGUCAGUAGUGGGGACAAAGAUGAAAUAAAAACACAUAAUAACUAACUUGGAUGAUUUAUAGCAUUUAAUAAUUUGUACAUGAUAAAUCCUUUAUUUCAUUAAUAGCUUUGUAAGUGCAACUCACAUAGGAAAAAUAUAAGGCGAGAUAGGUGGGGUUCAAAAACCACUUGGCAAUCUUUUAUAAUUAUAUUAAAUUGGGUGAAAAAUAAUGAUAACACAUUUUCCUUAUUAAAAAAAUAAAAUAAAAGAAAUUGCAACAAAUUUACAAUCCCAUUCCUAUCUGAUAAAGUUGUAAUAAAAAAAAGAGGUAAUUUUUCUGCAAAUUUUUUGUUUGCCAAUAAAUAACAUAUGUGAUGAAAUAUUAAUAACUUGAAUGAAAAGUAUACUUAAAUUCAUUGUUGAUCAUGUGUUACAACAAUUUGAUACAUACACUGAUAUAAUGUCUGUUAUGUUGUCGUCAUUCGGCUGUCUAAGGUUGUAAUUAGGCUUGGUUUGUGUUCAGGCCUUGUGGCGAUAGUCAGCUCAGGCUAAAGAAUAAAACAAACUGUCCUCCCAGUUACGAUGCGAGGGGUGAUGACAUUUUUGCUAGAGAACACUUAUUUCUUUCAUAAAUUUAUUUCAUAAUCAAAUAAUAUAGACACUGUUUCGGGAAAAUACUUGUCGAUUUUCAUUUCACUGGUGUAGGUUUCAUUUUUGUACUAAUAGUUUCGUAUCACUUAUCCAAAUUAAUCUGAUCCUGAUGGAAUUAGUUUGUGGUAUAGGAUGCUUGCUGUUUUAAUUUAGUAGGUCGAGAGAUCCUAGACAUAUUCACUGGGGAAAUAAUUAUGAUUGUAAAAUGUAUACGAAAGAAAUACAUUUUUACAAGACCUAACAUAAUUUGUUUGCAUCGUGAUAUGUUAAGGUAUUUUGUGUUAUGUACAGGAUUUUUCAACAUUCUAAAUUAAAACAGCAAGUAUAAUGUAAAACAAGACCAACAUAUAAAGGGUCAUGCCGAUAGGAUCAAGGGAUAAACUUGGAUACGGGAAACAGAAUAAUUCCAAUGCUGUUUUCGUUUUGCACUUGCGUGGCAGGUAGAUAAUAAGUGCCUAAAGGUUUGUAAGAUAGGGAAGGGAUAAUUGGGUAACAUUUAUUUUCACAUUAAAUUGUAUUCAUUGAAUUAGAACUACGUCUGAAGUUGUAUGAAGUGCAUUUCAUUCCCGGCAUAUGUCCACUGUAUUACGAAUAAAAAUUCACAGAUACAACUUCCACGAAAACACACAUUUUAUAGGUAAUAAUAACCCUCGUUUUGCAAUUUUAAAAUUCACUUAUUUACACAUAUUCUUAAGCAGGAACAUUUAAGUUUAUAUACACUGCAUACAUUUAUGUACUUCGUGAUCAAUUAAAGUCAAAUAAUAAUACACGACUCGACGAGAAUAGAAAAGCGUGACUACACUUUCAUACCAUGUAAUUUUUAAUAAAACUUUGACGAAUACGGCGAAGCAUUUUAUAUUUAGUAAUAUUUAGUAAUAAAUUAUUCCAUCGCAUCCUGCAAAUAUUCAAUAGAAUUCCUCAAAUAGUCAUCAUCACUAUCAACAACUAACCUCGCCUGAUACAUCACUAUUUUAUUUUCUGUUGCUUAGCCUCUGGUUAAGCAGCUAGCGGCCGGUUCAUCCACCCGCUAGGUUAGCCGGAACUUUAACUAGAAGGUAGACGUUAACAGGGAGUCAUAAAACCGAAAUAAGAGCUAGCCUGCGGUUAAAUUUAGCCGGAACUUUAGCCGGGGGUCAUAAAACCGGCCCUUAGAGCGUGAGAAUGGCCAAGGGAGGGAUUCCAACCAAAUGUAAACAAAGAGGGGUUCUGUUCUGUCCUGACACGUAAAACAGGGUACACAAUAAUUAAAGUUGACGUUUCUUUUACGCUGCGCUGCGUGUCUUACCUCAACAGAAAACAAGACUGAUCCAUGUCAGCAAAUAUGAUGUUAAUUUUUUUUAUAAAUAUAACAUAACAUUAAAACAGUUCAAAUAAUGAACUUACUUACCCAAAAAAACUGAUACUGCAACAGCACUCAAAAUAUUAAUUUAGUCUGCAUUUUAGUAACUGCAAUUUCAAAUAGAUAAAUGUCACGAAAACCUAAUUUAAAAGAAAAUUAUACACUUAAGAGUUUAAAAAAAUGUAAGUCUUUCUCAACACAUCACUUUCUAAUCUGCUACCGACGCGUCGCUAUCAUCUUCCUCGGCGUUACUGCUUUCUGCGUCAGCAUUGCUCCUGUCGUCAUCUUUAUCUUCCCAGAUUACAUAGUCUUCAGUUCCAUCGAGAGUGACGGUGAUGCCAGUCUUUUUGAAGCUUUUUACCACCAUAGCUUCGGUGAUGAGUGCCCAGCUUUGUCUCACCCAGUCGCAUAUCUGGGUUAGCGAUGGUCUUUUUAGUUUUCCCCCUGGAGUGAGUUCGUGAUUAUCGUCUGCCAUACAUUCAGAGUAGAGUCUGCGAAGGUGUCCCUUAAAAGGUUUGUUGAGGGAGACAUCUAGGGGCUGCAGGACAGAUGUCAGGCCUCCCGGAAUUACAGCUAUGUCGGUCUUGCCUUCAGACAGGUCACGCUUGACAUCUUCCACAAGAUGUGCUCGGAAACUAUACCACACAAGUAACGAUUGUUUCUUCAGAAGAGCACCGGGUCGACGAUUCCAUACAGUUUUUAGCCAGUCUUUCACAAGCCUUUCUCUUGGACCCGCACAUGCACACCACGCGGAAAGCUAGUGCCUUUUGGCAUUGUUUUCCUCUUGAAAAUGAUGUAUGGCGGCAGUUUCCGCCCAUCAGCCGUUACAGCUAGCAUAACUGUACAGCGUAACUUUUCGUUUCCGGUUGUACUAACGGUAAAACUUGAUGCUCCCCUCGGACUAAUCGUCGUACUUUGCGGCAUGUCAAAGUAUACCGGAGUUUGGUCAGCAUUACCUAUUUUUGAGAGUAGGUAAUGAGUUUUUCUCUGCUUAAUGAUGAAUCGCUGAAACUGCAGUAACUUUUCGUUAUAUUCUUUCGGCAAUUUUUGACUUAGUGAUGUUCUUCAUCGCAGAGAAAGGUUGUUCCGCCUCAUAAAUCUUGUGAUCCAUCCACGACUAGCCCUGAAUUCGUUAUGCGGUGUAUUCAUGGAACGCGCAAUUUCCCGCGCCUUUACUAUAAAUAAAGGGUGCGGACAUUAUGCGAGGGCAGACAUUGCGCGAGUGAAUACGGUACUUUCAAUAUCUCUUAAAUUGACUUUUCGUAAUAAUUUGUUUCCCAGAUGUUAUAAAUUUUAUCAUUAGACUAAAAAGUUAUUUUCAUCCACAACUUUGUAUUCGAGUAAAGAUAAGUCUGAAUGACAUUUCAUUGAGACCAACAUGAACUCCAAGCAGCUUACCCAUCCUGUCAAUAAAAGAUGGACCUUUCACCCACCUCCUGACAAAAAUAAAA